rnacentral:misc_RNA from 1 species
UUAAGUGAAGCAUUUCGUUUUGUACCUAAAUAAUCCAGUAUGAGUUGAGGACUCUAAGACCACCAAAUUUCCUAUCAGCAAGCUCCUCGGCAACAGAUCGCUUGUUGCACUGCAAUUUCAGUAGGGUGACUUCCUAGUUGGAGGGUUUAGCGUAUACAAUACCCUUGGAAACAGGCCUCUUCCUUCCACUACGUUUCACACGAACACGGUAUACCACAUAGCCCUUCUUGGCCUUGUAUCCCAAGCGGCG